GUAGGGUACAGCUGGCGUGCCGUGUGAAUACGCAUAUUUUUUCAUUUAUAUUCAUUCAAAAUAUUAGCAUACUAUUUUAAAACGAAAGAGGCUGGUGUUUUGUUUUAUAUAAUUUGUUUAUAUUGUUCAGUAGUAUACGCCUACAUGAGGCCGUAGCACAGUUAACAGACGAGCUGAGGUGGUGACGUCAUCGAGUCCGCUGCUGUUCCAAUUGCAGGUGCGUACUCCCGUCCUCGGAGGUUUGUACUUGGAAGUCCGGACUUGCCAAGCGCAAACUUCCGUACUUGGUAUUGAGAGACGGCUAGACUCUCCUCAGAGGGCUUCAGGGGUUGCUAUGGGUUUAGCAUCCCUGCCAUUUAGCAAACACACACAGACAAACACACGGACAGACACACACACGGACAGACACACACAUUAGCAGGUGGUCACCUUUGGGAGGGGGGUGGGUGGUAAGAGAAGCUAGUAGCUCAUUAACUAGGCGUAGAAAGGGAGGUGAAUGAUUACAAAAGCACCCAUGCACACACAUACACACACACACACACACAGUUGUCCCCCAGGAGGUGAUGUCGGCAUGGCGUCACAGGUAGGGGGGGUAGCUGAGCGUCGCCGUGACUACGGAUACCUCUACGCUCAGAGAGUCAGUCACCCCUUCAGGAAUACUUUGGCCGGAGAUAGAGGCGCGACCGACGUCGCCCACAACCAGCCUGGAGCUCUGAUACCUGAGCUCUGAUACCGUUUAAUAUAACUUCCUGUUUAGUAUUAUGGUUAGUAUACUCAGAUUGGACUAGUUUGGAGCAGACAUACAGGUGCCAGGCUGUAUCCUCUGGGACAGAACGCCCCCAGUGUGGAGCAGACAGACAGGUGCCAGGCCGACUCCUCUGGUAUAGAACGCCUCUAGCGUGGAGCAGACAGACAGGUGCCAGGCCGACUCCUCUGGUAUAGAACGCCUCUAGCGUGGAGCAGACAGACAGGUGCCAGGCCGACCCCUCUGGUAUAGAACGCCUCUAGCGUGGAGCAGACAGACAGGUGCCAGGCUGACUCCUCUGGGAUGGAGCCUGAACUCAGAGGGGAGUCCGGCGCCCCAGAGCCUGAGGCAGGGGAGGACUACCGCCAGUACCUGUGCAGGUAGACGUUCACCUCGACUCUGCAUUGCCCGGUCAGUUGACUAGGUGUGUGUUGCCGUGUGUGUCAGAUGACUCGGUGUGUGUUGCUAUGUGUCUGUCAGGGUACUAGGUGUGUGUUGCUGUGCGUGUGUCAUGUGACUAGGUGUGUAUUGUGGUGUUUGUGUCUAGUUGUGUGUGUGUCAUGUGACUAGGUGUAUGAUGCGGGGUAUGUGACUGUAGUUGUGUGUGUGUCAUGUGACUAGGUGUAUGAUGCGGGGUAUGUGAUUGUAGUUGUGUGUGUGUCAUGUGACUAGGUGUAUGAUGCGGGGUGUGUGACUGUAGUUGUGUGUGUGUCAUGUGACUAGGUGUGUGUUGCUGUGUGUGUGACUGUAGUUGUGCGUCCGUGUCAGGGUACUUGGUGUGUGUUACGGUGUGUGUGACUGUAGUUGUGCGUCCGUGUCAGGGUACUAGGUGUGUGUUGCGGUGUGUGUGACUAGUUGUGCGUGUGUGUCAGGGUACUAGGUGUGUGUUGCGGUGUGUGACUAGUUGUGUGUGUGUCCAUCAGGUUUCUAGGAAAGGAGAGGGCGGAUUACUUCCUGGGGUCGUCAUCUGAUCAUCUACGACCUUCAACCUGGGACCCUACGAUGACCUCUGCCAACAG
ensembl:lncRNA